GACGGAGGAUGCAAGUGUUAUCCGGAAUCACUGGGCGUAAAGCGUCUGUAGGUGGUUUGCUAAGUCUGCUGUUAAAGCUUGAAGCUCAACUUCAAAAAUGCAACAGAAACUAGUAGACUUGAGUGUGGUAGGGGCAGAGGGAAUUUCCAGUGAAGUGGUGAAAUGCGUAGAUAUUGGAAAGAACGCCAAAGGCGAAGGCACUCUGCUGGGCCAUAACUGACACUGAGAGACGAAAGCUAGGGGAGCAAAUGGG
rnacentral:rRNA from 1 species